UUGGUUAAGUUAGAAAGGGCGCACGGUGGAUGCCUUGGCACUAGGAGCCGAAGAAGGACGGGACUAACACCGAUAUGCUUUGGGGAGCUGUACGUAAGCGUUGAUCCAGAGAUUUCCGAAUGGGGGAACCCACUAUCUUUAGUCGGAUAGUAUCCUUACGUGAAUACAUAGCGUGAGGAAGGCAGACCCAGGGAACUGAAACAUCUAAGUACCUGGAGGAAGAGAAAGAAAAAUCGAUUUCCUGAGUAGCGGCGAGCGAAACGGAAAGAGCCCAAACCAAGAAGCUUGCUUCUUGGGGUUGUAGGACACUCUAUACGGAGUUACAAAAGAAAGUUAUAAAUGAAGCGGUCUGGAAAGGCCCGCCAAAGACGGUAACAGCCCGGUAGUUGAAAUGGCUUUCCCUCCAGAGUGGAUCCUGAGUACGGCGGAACACGUGAAAUUCCGUCGGAAUCCGGGAGGACCAUCUCCCAAGGCUAAAUACUCCCUAGUGACCGAUAGUGAACCAGUACCGUGAGGGAAAGGUGAAAAGCACCCCGGAAGGGGAGUGAAACAGUUCCUGAAACCGUGUGCCUACAAGUAGUUAGAGCCCGUUAAUGGGUGAUAGCGUGCCUUUUGUAGAAUGAACCGGCGAGUUACGAUUUGUUGCAAGGUUAAGCGGAAAAAGCGGAGCCGUAGCGAAAGCGAGUCUGAAUAGGGCGCAUAAGUAACAGGUCGUAGACCCGAAACCAGGUGAUCUACCCAUGUCCAGGAUGAAGGUAAGGUAAUACUUACUGGAGGUCCGAACCCACGCACGUUGAAAAGUGCGGGGAUGAGGUGUGGGUAGCGGAGAAAUUCCAAUCGAACUUGGAGAUAGCUGGUUCUCUCCGAAAUAGCUUUAGGGCUAGCCUCGAGGUAAAGAGUCAUGGAGGUAGAGCACUGUUUGGACUAGGGGCCCUUCUCGGGUUACCGAAUUCAGAUAAACUCCGAAUGCCAUGUACUUAUACUCGGGAGUCAGACUGCGAGUGAUAAGAUCCGUAGUCGAAAGGGAAACAGCCCAGACCACCAGUUAAGGUCCCCAAAUAUAUGUUAAGUGGAAAAGGAUGUGGGGUUGCUUAGACAACCAGGAUGUUGGCUUAGAAGCAGCCACCAUUGAAAGAGUGCGUAAUAGCUCACUGGUCGAGUGACCCCGCGCCGAAAAUGUACCGGGGCUAAACAUAUUACCGAAACUGUGGAUGAACCUCUUUAGAGGUUCGUGGUAGGAGAGCGUUCUAAGGGCGGUGAAGUCAGACCGGAAGGACUGGUGGAGCGCUUAGAAGUGAGAAUGCCGGUAUGAGUAGCGAAAGAAGGGUGAGAAUCCCUUCCACCGAAUAUCUAAGGUUUCCUGAGGAAGGCUCGUCCGCUCAGGGUUAGUCGGGACCUAAGCCGAGGCCGAUAGGCGUAGGCGAUGGACAACAGGUAGAGAUUCCUGUACCAGUGCUAAUUGUUUAACCGAUGGGGUGACACAGAAGGAUAGGGAAUCGCACGAAUGGAAAUGUGCGUCCAAGCAGUGAGUGUGAGAAGUAGGCAAAUCCGCUUCUCGCGAAGCAUGAGCUGUGAUGGGGAAGGAAAUUAAGUACGGAAGUUCCUGAUUUCACGCUGUCAAGAAAAGCCUCUAGGAAGAG
rnacentral:rRNA from 1 species